UAAUGCGUUUCAGAGAUCUAUCCCAAUGUUCCAUUACAGCGAAGCUUCUUAUUGUGUUUUUUCUGUAACACCAAAUUUUGUUUUUCUAUAUUUCGAUCUGUUUCUGAUUCUAGGAGACUAGUUUUAUGCAGUACCUAAGUGCUUACAGCUAGAUGUGGAGGUUUAACAGCUACCACAGAGCCCCUUUAGUUGCUUUCAGAAUAUUCACAGUGUUUCAGAAAUACCUUACUUGGUUCUGACCAUGUUAGACUCAUUUCUUUUAUAAAGAAACCCAGAGAAAGUCAGACUGUUGGAGAGUAGAGGAGUGUGUCUGAGAUCUGAAACUCUAGGACUGUGAAACAUGUUCAGGACAUGGAGCAAGAAGAAGAAGAUAAAGGCUGUAUUCCAAUUGCAGUUUCAGGCAACAGAGGUGCCGAAAUUGAAGAAGCCUGGGUUGAUGAUAUCUCUGGUGCCCGACGACGUGGGGAAGCCGACGGUGAAACUGCCGAAGACUAAGGCUCAGGAUGGGACCUGCACAUGGGAGAAUCCAGUUUAUGAGUCAGUGAAGCUCGUGGAGGAGUCAAAAUCAGGGAAACUGAAAGAAAAGAUUUAUCACUUCAUUGUUUCCACUGGAACUUCGAAAUCUGGUUAUCUCGGAGAAGCUUCAAUUGAUUUUGCAGAUUUUGUGGCAGAAACUGAACCCUUGACUGUCACUCUGCCACUUAAAUUUGCAAAUUCUGGAGUAGUUUUACAUGUGACGAUUCUCAGGGUGCAGGAAGAUGGUGAUUAUAGAGAGAUUGAUGACAGUGAGGAUCCUAGUCUUUCACGCCAUAGCAGCGUGGACAUCCAGAACAGCAAUUGGGAUACAGAUGGAAGCAACCACCUAAGUUAUACUGAAAAUGGAGCUUUUGAUAGAACAAGUAAUGGUGCCAGUUCCGUGUCACCCCAAGUAAAAGACUCCAUGCCUCAAAAUGGAAAGGCCGGUACCACUGCAACAAAAUUAGCCUUGGAUUGGUCUUCAGAUGAAAGCUCAUUUGACUCACCAACUAGAGUUGAAGACAAGCCUCCAACGGAAAAAGUGAAAGAUGUUUCAGGUGAUUCCAUUGAGAAACUCAGAAAGGAAAAUGCAAUGCUGAUGAGGCAGGCGGAUACAUCAGAAUUGGAAUUACAGUCUCUCCGAAAGCAAGUCGCGAAAGAGAGCAGCCAAGGACAAAAUCUGUCAAGACAGAUAAUUAGCCUUGAAGAGGAGAGAGAUGCACUCAAAUUAGAAUGUCAACAAUUAAAGUCAUUGCGGGGACGUGGUGAGGAGGUACAUGCUUCCCAAAAAUUGCAGCCCGCGGACAAAGAUACAAGAGUGCAGUUAGAAGCAAUGAAGCAAGAGCUUAAUCGUGAAAAGAAGGUAAAAGCCAAUCUUCACUCACAACUGCAAACAACACAAGACUCGAAUUCUGAGUUAGUCCUUGUGGUGAAGGAUCUCGAAGAAUUGUUGGUGAAGAAAAAUAAGGAAAUAGCUGAUCUUUCAAACAAGUUAGAAACUGAAAAGAAUAGCAAAUUAAUGGGGAAAAUUUCCAUACACAAAACAGAUGUGGAUGCCCAGGAAGUAGAGUCAUUGAAGCAGAAGCUCCGAGAACUUUUGAGUGAAAUGGACACCUACGAGAAGGAGAGGGAAGAACAAGAUAUGCAUAUAAAACGGCUCUACCUUGGACUAUGACCUUUUGAAGAAGAAAAACAAUGACAUCUCUCUGAAGUUAGAUCGAAACCAAGAAAAGCUACGAACAGAGAUGGAAAAUGAGCGUGCAGGUUAUAUUGCGACCAUAAAAGAACUUGAAUCUCAAGUAAAUAGAUCAGAAGAAACAAUUGAGAAGCAAGCCCAUGAAUUCGCAGAAUGUUUGAUCUCAAUUCAGGAACUGGAAAAUGAGGUCAAGUGUUUGGAGAUGGAACUGGAGAAGCAGGCCAAGGGAUUUGAAGAUAAGCUGGAGGAUCUGGCACAUGCUAAAGAUGAGCAAGAACAGAGAGCAAACAAAGCAGAAGAAGCGUUGAGAAAGACAAGGGGGGAUAGUGCUGCUACAGCUGAGCGUCUACAAAAUGAAUUAAGAAAGCUUUCUAUGGAAAUGACAUCUAAGGUUGAUGAGAACGAGAAGCAGACCACUAAAGCACUGGCAGAAGCUAAUGACCUGCGUGUGCAGAACAGAAUUCUGGAAGAGAUGCUCCAGAAAUCCAAUGAACAGUUAGAACUGAUCAAGGGCCAGAUUGAUGCCAAAGCAAAGCAUGUAGAGCAGAUCUCCUCGGAACUAGAAAACAAAACGAAGCAGCUUGAAUAUGCAUUACUGCACAAGGAAGAAAAGCAUGAAGCUCUCACAAUGAAAAUCCAAAUGCUCAAAGCUGAGAUAGAAAGGCUCACAGAAGAGAACUCAAACAUCACAAAACAGGAGGAAGAAAAAUUGAGAGGAGAUUUGGAACAAAUGAAGAAACUAAUUUCUGAAAAUCAGGUGCUCAUCCAGAAUUUGAAUGUUGAAAAGCAUGAUUUGGAGAAAAGAUUGGCUUCAUCAAAGCAGGAAUCAGUGAAAACGCAUGAAGAGCUUACUAACAUAAAGUCCUUGAAAGAUGAGAAGGAGACGGCAAUCACUCAUCUCAAGUCAGAAGUGGACAACCUGCGGACCCAGUACAAUGAGUCUAAGAGCACCUUGCGUAAGGAAGCAUUGGAAAAGGAAAACUUGAGUAAGCAAAUACUUCAGUUACAGGCUGGGUUAAAGAAAGAAGGAAGAACCAGCACUGCAGAGAAGAAGCUCAAGAAAUAUAAUGGACAAGCUGCUAUUUCUAGUAAUAACCAAAGGAAAUCUGAAGACUCUGCGGAGAGAGAGCGUAAUUAUAAGGACUUGCUGACUGAGUUGACAUUACUGAAAGAAAGAAACGCAUCCAUGGAAAAAGAACUGAAGGAGAUGGAAGAGAGAUAUUCAGAGGUAAGUCUCAGAUUUGCAGAGGUUGAAGGUGAAAGGCAACAACUUGUCAUGACUGUGCGUAACCUCAGAAGCAAUAAGAAGAACUAGAAUGCUCUGAGCUGUUUCACUUAGGCUACUGUACAGAAUGCAUAGUGAAGCAGGUUAUGCUGAGUUGCUGAGCACUGGAGCAAAGAUACAGGUGGGACUAUCGAACUACAGAAGAUAUCAAGAAAUAUUAUGUAUAAGAAUUUGACGAUUCUUCCGCCUGUUAUGGCUCUCCAAUUUAAUUUAAUACAGAAUCACCAAAAAUAAAGUCUAGCUACAGUACUACAUUCUUUUGCAUCAAGCAAGCUCCACUCAUUUAUUUAUGAAAAGUUGAUAACUGCUACGAUUUUGUUGCAUUCACAUGUGAUUAGGCUCGAAUUAAGCAUGUAAAACAAUAUGUGGAAGGGAAAGUAUUGGAUUCGACUUCUCAGAUAUUACAC